rnacentral:rRNA from 1 species
GACGAACGCUGGCGGCGUGCUUAACACAUGCAAGUCGAACGGAAAGGCCCUGCUUUUGGGGGGUUCUCGAGUGGCAAACGGGUGAGUAACACGUGAGUAACCUGCUCUUGAUUUUGGGAUAACUUCAGAAAACUGGGGCUAAUACCGUAUAGGAGCUCCUGCUGCAUGGGGGGGGUUGGAAAGUUUCGGCGGUGGGGGAGGGACUCGCGGCUUAUCAGCUUGUUGGUGGGGUAGUGGCUUACCAAGGCUUUGAGGGGUAGCCGGCCUGAGAGGGGGACCGGCCAAAUUGGGCCUGGGAUACGGCCCAGACUCCUACGGGAGGCAGCAGUGGGGAAUAUUGCACAAUGGGCGGAAGCCUGAUGCAGCAACGCCGCGUGCGGGAUAACGGCCUUCGGGUUGUAAACCGCUUUCGCCUGUGACGAAGCGUGAGUGACGGUAAUGGGUAAAGAAGCACCGGCUAACUACGUG